GAGUCUCUGGCUCAAUUGUUAGAGCGUUGGACUUCUGAUCAAUGGGUCAUGAGUUCGAUCCUCAGGUGGUGCA
rnacentral:tRNA from 1 species